rnacentral:rRNA from 1 species
UACGUAGGUGGCAAGCGUUGUCCGGAAUUAUUGGGCGUAAAGCGCGCGCAGGCGGUCCUUUAAGUCUGAUGUGAAAGCCCACGGCUCAACCGUGGAGGGUCAUUGGAAACUGGGGAACUUGAGUGCAGAAGAGGAAAGUGGAAUUCCACGUGUAGCGGUGAAAUGCGUAGAGAUGUGGAGGAACACCAGUGGCGAAGGCGACUUUCUGGUCUGUAACUGACACUGAGGCGCGAAAGCGUGGGGAGCAAACAGG